rnacentral:rRNA from 1 species
GUCGAGGGGUAUAUGUCUUCGGAUAUAGAGACCGGCGCACGGGUGCGUAACGCGUAUGCAAUCUACCUUUUACAGAGGGAUAGCCCAGAGAAAUUUGGAUUAAUACCUCAUAGUAUAGCUCUACCGCAUGGUAGUACUAUUAAAGUCACAACGGUAAAAGAUGAGCAUGCGUCCCAUUAGCUAGUUGGUAAGGUAACGGCUUACCAAGGCAACGAUGGGUAGGGGUCCUGAGAGGGAGAUCCCCCACACUGGUACUGAGACACGGACCAGACUCCUACGGGAGGCAGCAGUGAGGAAUAUUGGACAAUGGGCGCAAGCCUGAUCCAGCCAUGCCGCGUGCAGGAUGACGGUCCUAUGGAUUGUAAACUGCUUUUGUACGAGAAGAAACACUGCUUCGUGAAGCAGCUUGACGGUAUCGUAAGAAUAAGGAUCGGCUAACUCCGUGCCAGCAGCCGCGGUAAUACGGAGGAUCCAAGCGUUAUCCGGAAUCAUUGGGUUUAAAGGGUCCGUAGGCGGUUUAGUAAGUCAGUGGUGAAAGCCCAUCGCUCAACGGUGGAACGGCCAUUGAUACUGCUGAACUUGAAUUAUUAGGAAGUAACUAGAAUAUGUAGUGUAGCGGUGAAAUGCUUAGAGAUUACAUGGAAUACCAAUUGCGAAGGCAGGUUACUACUAAUUGAUUGACGCUGAUGG